rnacentral:rRNA from 1 species
GAGUUUGAUCCUGGCUCAGAACGAACGCUGGCGGCAGGCCUAACACAUGCAAGUCGAACGCCCCGCAAGGGGAGUGGCAGACGGGUGAGUAACGCGUGGGAAUUUCCCCCAAGGUUCGGAAUAACUGAGGGAAACUUCAGCUAAUACCGAAUGGUACCGAGAGGUUAAAGAUUUAUCGCCUUGGGAUGAGCCCGCGUUGGAUUAGCUAGUUGGUGAGGUAACGGCUCACCAAGGCUGUGAUCCAUAGCUGGUCUGAGAGGACGACCAGCCACACUGGGACUGAGACACGGCCCAGACUCCUACGGGAGGCAGCAGUGGGGAAUCUUGGACAAUGGGCGCAAGCCUGAUCCAGCCAUGCCGCGUGGGCGAUGAAGGUCUUCGGAUUGUAAAGCCCUUUUGGCGGGGACGAUAAUGACGGUACCCGCAGAAUAA